AAAGAGACAAAACAAUAUAUGUUUCUUUACGUUUUUUUAUUAUUAUCUUUAUUUUAUAUAUAUAUAUAUAUAUAUUAUUGCAUUUUAGGUUUUGGGAUACAUGUGAAGAACAUGCAGGAUUGUUGCAUGGGUACAUACAUGGCAAUGUGGUUUGCUGCCUUCCUCCCCAUCACCUAUAUCUGGCAUUUCUCCCAUGUUCUCUCUCCACAAGUUAAUUCCUCUUUUUUUUGUUUCCCAUAGCACUUUUAUUGUGAGUUUGUAUUUGGCACCUGUCACAUCAUAACUUGGUUCUUUUCGACAGUGAUUUAUUGAGCUCUCUCUUUGUGCCAGGCAUCUUGCUAGACACUGGGGACAGAGAUCAAUUAGAUACAAAUCCUGCCCUCAAGGAGCUCACAGUCUAGAAAUGGAGGUGGGAAUAUAAACAAAUAAAUCAUACAACUGAGGGAGUGUGGCAAUAAAAGGUAUAUACAAGGCACAGGUUUAGCACAGAGAAGGUGGUUAGCUUGAUCUAGGGACGGAAGGAUCAGGAAAGACUUGCUGGAUUAGGCGAUAAGUCAUGUAGCUCUGUUUCUUGAAGUUCAGUGUGAGCUCUUUGAGAACAGGGGUUAUGCCUUAUUCACCUUAUUAUCCCUAUCACCUAACAUAAUGCCUAGCACAUUGUAGAUAGUCAAGAGCUAUCAGUGGAAUUUACUUGAACAUGUAAGAAUCUGGUUUUAAAAGGCAAAGUGUCUAGAGGCCCAUUUUUUUUUUUUUUUUUAAUAUUCAGUAUCAUCUUUUUGUCUGGUUUGGUCCAGCUUUGCUUCUGCCUAUGUGUGCCUGCAUGUUUGAAAUGAGAACAAAGCUGUUUUUCUUGGUUACAUUGAUUGUGAAAAUGGCCUUACUAUAUGGGGUGCCACAUAUGCUGCUUUUAUUUUCUCUUUCAUUUAGAUGUUUUCUUAAUUUAUUAACUUGAAAAAUUAUGUUCAUUUAAUUAACUAGUAUAAGAAAUUUUUAGAGAUCCAACAAACUAAUAAGAUUUUACAGAUUUUUGAAAAAUAAUGUUUUCUUCUUUAUGGAAACAUGCAUUUGCAAAUAUUAACAUUGACUUCAAAUAAUUAUUACAAAUAAAGUUCAAAGUAUAGAUGUCUUUGGUGUUAGGCCGGUUAAAGUCUAACAUGUUAUUACACAGUACAGGGAUGUUGAAUCCUAUUUAAGUCUAUCUUUGACACCAUGAAACCUGAUACAGUUUCAUUAAAUUGAAUGGCAAUUGUGUUUUAAAAUAAAUUUAUAAAACAAAGAUUUUAACCUGCUAUACUAAUGGCUCCAUAUUAAUAAAAUGCUUGUCUGUGACCUUUAAGAUAAGCAAUUUCAAUAGCAAUCAUCUGACAUCUUUGUGGAUCCUGAAUAAAACCAAACUGAUUAUGAAAAUGACACAUUGCAAAAAAAUUUAUCCCCAUAUUUCCUUUUUAGGUAUGACAUUAAAAGAACAAUAUUAAUUUAAAGGGCAUAAAAAUUCACAUAAUCACCAUAAAUAUAGAAUCCAGUUUACAGAUGACUACAAUGAAGAAAUCUGUUAGCUAAUUAUGUAGCAACCUGACUCUGGUUCUCAACAUUUUAUCAGCUUAUGUUCCUUAACACCAUAUGUUAUAGGGAACAGUAAAGACAUCUGAAUUCAAAUAUUUUGAAGAAAUGUGUAUUUAGCAAGUGAAUACAUGCUAAAAGGAAUAAUUUACAGCAGCAGUUUCAUUACAUUUUUCUCUCCAGUUUUUCUAGUUCCCAUCUGAAAUGCAGUGAUAAAUACAGAUAUGGAACAUAUUUCCUACCUGGCAAAAAACAUGCUUAUUGAAUGGGCACACACCUUCUGUCCUUAAAUAGUACAUAAAGCACCUUGUCACCUGCGUGGGAAAAUCUUGCAUUUUAGGAUGAUGUUGAACACAUUGAAAUGGAGUACCUAUAGAAAGUUUUAUUUUACACUGUUCUUCCUUUUUUCCCCCCAAAUUAUUUACAUUUCUUUUGCCUAAUGUGUAGGUAGCGUAGCAAAAAUAUUAAACACAUACCAUUUAAAAUUACUAAAUAAUACAUAAAAUGAAGUGUGCAUUUACAUGCAUUUACAUUUUACAUUUGAUAUCGACUGGGCCAUACUUUCUUUGCUGUGAUUCAUCUUUCUCAUACCUUAAGACUGCUUUUGUAAUUUUCCUAAGGUCACAUAAGUCUCUUUAACGGUUUCAUCUGUGAUGAUUCAUGCAUAUGACAAAGUCUUUUAAAGCUGAAUUAUUAAAUGGGUCAUUACUUCUUUUUCGUGCAAACUGCCCUCUCUCAAUACAUGUGGGCAGAAGUUUAUGACUGUAAUGAGUUAUUUAGCUGCAAGUUAUAUCUACAAUUUUCUUUUAAAACUUAGACAUGAUGGUAUAUAAAGACAUGCCUGUAGAUUUUUUUAGUUACUUUUAAUUGAAGUCUAGACUUUUUUCUAUUGUAAUUUCAUAAUGCUAAACAAAAUGCAUUCAAAUUAAUUUUGGAAGGCUUCUAUAAAGUUAUCAUAUAAUCUCUGUCCCUUCAAAUCCUUUAUUUUUGAGGAUUAAUAAGAUAUUUCUGCCAUUGCAAAUAAAUUUGUUUCAGCUACAAAUUUAGAAUGAAUUACAACACUGAAUGUUAGUACAGUUAAGACACUUUUUGAAAAUAAAAGAAUGACCUAUUUUUUUGGAGCCCUCUUUGUUCUUUGACUUAUAUUUCCAAACACUAUUUUCUGUACAGUGGUGUGUUCUUCAAAUAACUUAACAAUUCAGCUUUCAUUUGAGGAUAUACAAUACUUCCAAAAGCAACACCAUAUUAGUCAAUGGAGCCUAAAAUUGAAUGUAGAUUAUUUUUAGGCUUUUAUUUGAAACAAGUGGCAACAGCUUGUUUAUUCAAAGCAAUCAUUAAAACUGAAACAUGAGCUUCCAUCUGUGAAAUAUUUCAGCUGAUAGGAAAUAAAAAUUCACUGUAGUCUGAGGUGAGAAAUUGAUGCUGAGAUAAUUAGAAUCCAAAGACAGCAAGAGUUGGAAUUUCAAUGUUGCUUCAUGAAUUACUAAUAAGAUAUUUCCUUUGCAUUUUUGUGCAUGAUGAAGAACCUGGGGAAGGAGUCCUGAAUAGGUUAGUGCAGUGCAAAAGAAACCACAGUAUAAUGCUAAAAGUUUUGAAUAUCUCAAAGUCAGUGAUUUUCAAUGAAUCAUUUUAGGACAAUGAAGGAAGCAAAUCUUGAAUUUUAGUCUUUUACCUUAUUUUGUAAGUUGUUGCAGGAAACAGAGAGUUUUACAUUGUUUAACUGUGGGUUGCAUCCCAGAAAAUACUUUGCAGAAAAGUUCUUCCCAUUGACAUGAAAAGAGUCAUGUGUUUCUUGUACAAAUAAUUGUCUUAAACAAGAAAGAUAAGAGGAACCUGAUACAGAUAUAAAUGGUUGGAAACUUUGCCUUUAUCAUGUUGCUCUGAAUAGUAUUGAUCUCUCUCUUUUAAAAAAACUUGACACAGAUAUAAUUCUUAGUGGAGUCAUAAGAGAGAUCUUUGUCUCAAAUAUCAUGCAGGGAUUCAAGCACAGAAUUAGACACAUUUUCUAUUAACAGUAUAGUAAGACAAUGCUUAUUAUUUUCAUGAAAUAUGCAAUUCCUUUUCCCUUCAUUGACUCAUUAGAUAUAGUAAAAUGCACUUAAUAAUCGAUUUCUUUCUUCCUUUUUUACUGGUUAAGUUGUUCUGUUUUUUUCUAAGAACAUUAUGCAAGUUAAAAUUAAUUUACAUAAUACCUAAAGAAGGGGAGGUGUGAACAGCUUCCAUUUGUUUGAUUUUUCUCUGUGAAAUAAAGCAUAAUUUAUAUCCUGGUUUUAGAGAUUCAUUCUUAAUGAUGUACAUGUGUUUCUACAACAGUAUCAUCCAUCCCUCUUAUAGAAUUGAAAAUAAAAUGUCCAAAGAAAGCAGCACACUAUUGGAAUUUUUAAAACAAAACUACAUAGCACAAUAAUUGUAAGACAAAUUCUACUCUAGCUUAGAAAACAACUAAUUUUUACUGCAUAUUUGUCAUGGUACAUUUAAAUUAUAGUUUUAAUAAAAUACAUCUUUAGAUCAAAGCUGAAAGAAGACAUCAGUAGUAGAUCAGU
ensembl:lncRNA